rnacentral:lncRNA from 1 species
UUUAAAAAAAUACACACUUAACUGAUCUAAAAUUUGUACUCUAAUAACAAUUCCACUAGUGUUAUUGCAUAAGACGUUAAACUUAAGCAAUUCAUUUGUCAGCCAGCUGACGAUCAAAACCGAAAUACAUAAGUGCGAAACAAUCAACACAACACAGUAUGUGUAUCUCGUAUGAAUAUUUCAAAUAAAAAUAGAAAAUUAACAAGAUACUCAAUACUAAAAACUAAAGAAAUAUAAGAAAAAGAAAAAGAAACAUUUUCAAGGUUAUUAAUUCCAUAUACUUACCUCAAGCACAAAAGAUCACAGCUGAAAUAGAUUCCAUUUUUAGAAGAAGAAAUCAUCAGAUACAAGUCACAUUUUGAGUCUUUUACCAUACUUACAAAUUCAAGAAAAGGGGCAAAAUUAAAAGAGCAAUAAACUAAAGAUGGCAUAUACAACCUUUCUUUUUUAGAACUAUGUAAAUUAAGCUAAAAAUAAGAUUCAAAGCUGCCAUUUUUCUUCACUUCAAGCAGAAAAGACAUCAUUAAUAGCUGCAACACCAAUCUCACUCUCAGUCCCAAAAUCUCCUCUUUUAAUGAUCAUCAGCUCAUUAAUCUUGGUUUCUCCAAUCGUCAUCUUGAUUUUAGAAGAAUACCCAUUAAAUUUCUGGCCCAAAACUGAUGAGAAAUAAGAGAAGAAUUGUAUUUCUUCUUCAGCACCAUAUUUUCUUGAAUUUGUUUAAAUGUUUCUGAUAUUAAUUAGAACAAGUUAUUCAUAAUAAUAAAAUUUUUUAUAUUAAUAAAAAACUCAAAUAUUUAUUUACAAAAUAGAGUAUGAAAGAAAAUAAAAUAACAUAGCAAUAUCAGCCAUAGUAGUAAUUAAAAGAGCUUUUUUCUUUUUUAAAUUUUGAGAAGUUGGGUUGUUUCUUUUGAGAGUUGUUUAUAAUUUGAAGUGUAAAGAAAUGUUUGUUUUGGACUAUAUAUAGGGAUAUAACCAAAUGGUGGAUUUUAGGUACACAUGAAAAUGGAUAAGGUUGCCAGGGGGAUACAUCCAAUGUGUGAGGAGUGAGGACUAUUAUUUUUAAGUGUUUUUUGUUGGGUAAGGUGAGUGGUUUUUGGACAAGACUUUGUGUUUGGUUUUGAUAAUUUUGAUGGUUUUAGAUAUGCCGUUAAUUUGUCACUUUUUCUUUUCCAAGUUGUUCCCAUUGUUU